UAUCCAAUUUAACCCGAUUUAUCAAAGAAACCCACAAAUUGGAUCCCUAACCCAAUUGAAUAAACCCUAGAAUUGGAAGCCCAACCCAAUUGAAUAAACCCUAGUCCUCUGAUAGUCUGAUAGAUACACCUAUACAAAAAUUGUUUUCAUCAACAACAAUACC